rnacentral:rRNA from 1 species
CAAAAACAUGUCUCUUAGGAAUUAUUAAGAGUCAGGCCUGCCCAGUGAUUGCUUUUUAACGGCCGCGGUACCCUGACCGUGCAAAGGUAGCAUAAUCAUUUGCCUUUUAAUUGAAGGCUGGUAUGAACGGUUUGACGAGAGUAAAGCUGUCUCACACAUAAUUAAUAGAAAUUAAUUUAAAGGUGCAAAAGCCUUUAUAAAUCAAAAAGACGAGAAGACCCUGUUGAGCUUUAAUUUAAACCAAGUAUAAACCAUAUAUUAAUAUAAUUUAUCUGCUUGAUAAAAAUUUUAAUUGGGGCGAUUAAGGAACACUCAAAAGCUUCCUGACUGUUACAAAAAUAUUCUAUAGAUUAAAUCGAUCCAGCAAUGCUGAUCAACAAAAUGAGUUACCACAGGGAUAACAGCAUAAUUCUUUUUGAGAGCUCAUAUCGAAAAAAGAGAUUGUGACCUCGAUGUUGGACUAGGGUAACCGGAAGGUGUAGCCGCUUUCCCGCUUGGUCUGUUCGACCAAUAAUUCCCUACGUGAUCUGA